UGGUUGUCCAAGUUUAAGGUGGUAGGCUGAAAUCUUAGGUAAAUCCGGGGUUUCAAGGCCGAGAGCUGAUGACGAGUCGUCUUUUAGAUGACGAAGUGGUUGAUGCCAUGCUUCCAAGAAAAGCUUCUAAGCUUCAGGUAACCAGGAACCGUACCCCAAACCGACACAGGUGGUCGGGUAGAGAAUACCAAGGCGCUUGAGAGAACUCGGGUGAAGGAACUAGGCAAAAUGGCACCGUAACUUCGGGAGAAGGUGCGCCGGCUAGGGUGAAGGAUUUACUCCGUAAGCUCUGGCUGGUCGAAGAUACCAGGCCGCUGCGACUGUUUAUUAAAAACACAGCACUCUGCAAACACGAAAGUGGACGUAUAGGGUGUGACGCCUGCCCGGUGCCGGAAGGUUAAUUGAUGGGGUUAGCGCAAGCGAAGCUCUUGAUCGAAGCCCCGGUAAACGGCGGCCGUAACUAUAACGGUCCUAAGGUAGCGAAAUUCCUUGUCGGGUAAGUUCCGACCUGCACGAAUGGCGUAACGAUGGCGGCGCUGUCUCCACCCGAGACUCAGUGAAAUUGAAAUCGCUGUGAAGAUGCAGUGUAUCCGCGGCUAGACGGAAAGACCCCGUGAACCUUUACUGUAGCUUUGCACUGGACUUUGAGCCUGCUUGUGUAGGAUAGGUGGGAGGCUUUGAAGCGUGGACGCCAGUUCGCGUGGAGCCAUCCUUGAAAUACCACCCUGGCAUGCUUGAGGUUCUAACUCUGGUCCGUAAUCCGGAUCGAGGACAGUGUAUGGUGGGCAGUUUGACUGGGGCGGUCUCCUCCUAAAGAGUAACGGAGGAGUACGAAGGUGCGCUCAGACCGGUCGGAAAUCGGUCGCAGAGUAUAAAGGCAAAAGCGCGCUUGACUGCGAGACAGACACGUCGAGCAGGUACGAAAGUAGGUCUUAGUGAUCCGGUGGUUCUGUAUGGAAGGGCCAUCGCUCAACGGAUAAAAGGUACUCCGGGGAUAACAGGCUGAUACCGCCCAAGAGUUCAUAUCGACGGCGGUGUUUGGCACCUCGAUGUCGGCUCAUCACAUCCUGGGGCUGAAGCCGGUCCCAAGGGUAUGGCUGUUCGCCAUUUAAAGUGGUACGCGAGCUGGGUUUAGAACGUCGUGAGACAGUUCGGUCCCUAUCUGCCGUGGACGUUUGAGAUUUGAGAGGGGCUGCUCCUAGUACGAGAGGACCGGAGUGGACGAACCUCUGGUGUUCCGGUUGUCACGCCAGUGGCAUUGCCGGGUAGCUAUGUUCGGAAAAGAUAACCGCUGAAAGCAUCUAAGCGGGAAACUUGCCUCAAGAUGAGAUCUCACUGGGAACUUGAUUCCCCUGAAGGGCCGUCGAAGACUACGACGUUGAUAGGCUGGGUGUGUAAGCGUUGUGAGGCGUUGAGCUAACCAGUACUAAUUGCCCGUGAGGCUUGAUC
rnacentral:rRNA from 1 species